AAAUAUUAUUUUUUUGUUUUUUGUUUUCUAUUUUUAUAUUUUUCUUGUCAACUCGAAUAAAAUUCUCUUAUUAUUAUCUUCCUCGCAAUUUUUCCAUAUUUACUCAUAUUAAUGGGUUACCAUUUCCAAGAAUCGUGAUUAAAUGUCAGUUCUGUCCCCAGCUUGUUGGAAAAACGCAUCAACUACACCAACGGGAUAAGUGAAAAUCCAAUUGGGAAAAUAUCCUAACUUCAUCACAAAUUCAAAUUAUAAAGUUCAGUCAGAUAGAAACAACCGUAAGCGUAUGGAGGCACAGGUGGUAAAAAAGAAAACAUUUGCGUUUGAAUUCUGCAAGAAAGCGAUUAUAUUGUAUUAGAAGGAAAAAAAUUAUUUCACCUUGAUGAAAGAAAGCUGAAAUCCAUUCCUAUGACAAUCAAUCAACAACUACAUUAUUCCUGGACAACGGUUUAUAUUCGACCAAGUACCGUCAACUCAAAAUACAAACGAGAUCGGAACCCAUUACUUGCAGUCGGGGAUUCGGCAGCAAAAUUCACCAAUUGGAAAAUGUUCUCGCGUUCCCAUUAACAUCAAACCAACCUGAAGAACGAUAUUUCAUCUAUUCCAACCAAUAUUAGAUCUUCCUUAAUGGUUAAAAGAAGAAGUUGUGAUUAAAAGAUAAUCAUUUGUACAUAUCUUUCGACAGCAAGCACUCUCUUCAAAUCACUCCAACGUCACAGAAUAUUAUUGCAGCCUUGAGUGCGUGUGAGUGUUCUUUUUAGGGGCAAUUGAAGUUCAUCAGCGAUUUUCGCACGUCUAAUUGGAUGGAAUUCCCGUGGAUGACAGGCGGCAUUUAAUUGCGCCACAUUGGAAAAUGUAAAUCACUGCGUGGCAUGUGGCAUGUGGCAUGCCACAUAACACACCACAAAACUAUAUAAAUAAGAAGCGAGGCGCAUAGAAACUAAAGGACGGACGGAAAAUAUUUUUUGUACUUAGCAAAAGAGUCAAAGACAAGCGGGAGAGACAGCCACCACACUCACACGCUCACGAGUAACGGUAUUUUGAGUUAUGGUGCGAUCGUUUUCUUUUGUCGCCUGCAAUUAAAAUGAAAUAAAGCAAA